rnacentral:lncRNA from 1 species
AGAAAGAGGCCAGGUAUGGUAGCCCAUGUCCCUAAUCUCACUGACUCAGGAGACUAAAGCAGGAGGAUUGUAAUUUUGAGGCCAGCUUUGGCAAUUUGGCAAGCUAACCCUAACCCUCAAUCUGUCUCAAAAUAAAAGGUUUGGGGAUGUAGCUCAGGGGUAUAGCACUCUGGGUUUGAUUCCCAGUAUGGGGUUGGGCGGAACUAGCAGAAAGUACCCCAUACCCCCAACUGUUAAAAACUCCACAUGUAGUUUCAGCAGUGCUUGUGCUGAAUACACUUGCAUCAUUUCUUCUGUGCUUCUACUGUAAAGAAGAGCUUUGGUUCUCCCCAAUUUCCUUUUUGUUUGCUUGGGUGCCUGCUUUUCACUGAGUCAGGGUCCCUUAGGAACACUGCUGGGAAGUUCCUACAGUAGCUAACUAAGUGCAUCCUCUGUGGUCCAGGAAGCGCACUUGGCAGCCCUGCAUCCACUGCCUCUGUUCCCUAGGUGAUGUGCACAGAUGACACUCGCACUUGGUCCACUUUCUGUUACUGAUAAAAGAAUACAACAGACUGGGUUAAAAAAAAAGAAAGAAAAAAGAUUGAACCCAGGGGUACUUUACCACUGAGCCACAUCCCCAGCCCUUCUUUGUGUUUUAUUUUGAGACAGGGUCUCAAAAUAAGCCCUAAGUUGCUUAGGGCUUCAGUAAAUUGUUGAGGCUCACCUGAAACUUGAAUCAUCCAGCCUCAGCCUCCCGAGUCAGAGUCACUGGGAUUACAGGAGUGAGCCACUAUUCCUGGACCAGGUAAAAUAUUUUUAAAACAGGUUUAUUGGACUUAAGGUUCUGGAGUUCCAAAGUUGAGGAGACCCAUCU